GGAACUUUAGUAUAAUGGUGAUUGCAUAUGACUUUUAAUCAUUAAGAUGUGAGUUCAAUUCUCGCAAGUUCUA